ACAUCUAGUGUAUCAAAAGAGAUUUUACAGGACUAAAUUCUGCAUAUGCCCUGGUGGCUCUCAGGUCAACAGUGCUCGCAUAGCUGAUUCAAUCCAUUAUGGAUGUGUUCCUGUAAUAUUAUCCAACUACUAUGACCUGCCAUUCAAUGACAUUCUUGAUUGGCGAAAAUUUUCUGUCAUACUUAAGGAGCAAGACGUAUACAGCCUCAAGCAAGUUCUCAAGAACAUGUCUGAUGAUGAGUUUGUAGCUUUGCAUAAGAAUUUGGUUGAGGUCCAGAAGCACUUCCA
rnacentral:misc_RNA from 1 species